rnacentral:rRNA from 1 species
UACGGAGGAUUCGAGCGUUAUCCGGAUUUAUUGGGUUUAAAGGGAGCGUAGGCGGGUUGUUAAGUCAGUUGUGAAAGUUUGCGGCUCAGCCGUAAAAUUGCAGUUGAUACUGGCAUCCUUGAGUACAGUAGAGGUAGGCGGAAUUCGUGGUGUAGCGGUGAAAUGCUUAGAUAUCACGAAGAACUCCGAUUGCGAAGGCAGCCUGCUGGACUGUAACUGACGCUGAUGCUCGAAAGUGUGGGUAUCAAACAGG